UAGCUCCAUUUUGGCCUUCCAGUGGUGAAAGUUGUCACCUUUGAACUUUUCAACCAUUCUCAAGCUAUCACCCUCAAAAGAUGCCAUCUCAAGCUACACGUAGGUCCAAAAAACUCUUGAUUUGGAGUUGUAAUGGAGAAGAUAUCACUACUCAAAGAUCGCUGAACCACAAACCCAGAAUUCGCUGUUUUGCAACUUUUUGUAAAUUAUGAGUCCAAAUCACGUCUAA
rnacentral:lncRNA from 1 species